rnacentral:lncRNA from 1 species
UUAUGUUUAAGACCUUUUUUUUCGUCUCAAAUUAUAGUCACGUGCUUCUUAAACCAUGGUCACGUGCUUUCACCUUAACUGUCUUUUCUCCAUGCUACUUGAAAUUAAUGCCAUCAAUUUAAUUAUCCCAUAAUAAGGAAAGCUAAUACUAGUGGCGAUAUAUAUAUAUAGGAGUGCCUCCCAGCCCACCGGCAUGUGCGCAUGAGCAGCUGCCGCCCCCUCCCAACCUCUACCUUUCCAUGUUAGUUAGGUAUUCUUCUCCCCGUGAAACCCUAUGUUUUUAGGCAGAAAUUUUGUUUUUGAGGAGCCUAACUUUUUGUUCCUUUGUGUAAUAAUAUGGAACAAUCAA